AAAAAGAUAAGCUAAUUAAGCUAAUAGGUUCAUACCCUGUCUAUAGAAGGCAUUCUUCUUCUUUUUA
rnacentral:tRNA from 1 species